UUGCUGGCGACCGGCGCACGGGUGAGUAACACGUAUCCAACCUGCCCUUUACUCGGGGAUAGCCUUUCGAAAGAAAGAUUAAUACCCGAUAGUAUAAUGAUUCCGCAUGGUUUCAUUAUUAAAGGAUUCCGGUCAACGAUGGGGAUGCGUUCCAUUAGGUUGUGGGCGGGGUAACGGCCCACCAAGCCUUCGAUGGAUAGGGGUUCUGAGAGGAAGGUCCCCCACAUUGGAACUGAGACACGGUCCAAACUCCUACGGGAGGCAGCAGUGAGGAAUAUUGGUCAAUGGACGAGAGUCUGAACCAGCCAAGUAGCGUGAAGGAUGACUGCCCUAUGGGUUGUAAACUUCUUUUAUACGGGAAUAAAGUGAGGCACGUGUGCCUUUUUGUAUGUACCGUAUGAAUAAGGAUCGGCUAACUCCGUGCCAGCAGCCGCGGUAAUACGGAGGAUCCGAGCGUUAUCCGGAUUCAUUGGGUUUAAAGGGAGCGUAGGCGGACGCUUAAGUCAGUUGUGAAAGUUUGCGGCUCAACCGUAAAAUUGCAGUUGAUACUGGGUGUCUUGAGUACAGUAGAGGCAGGCGGAAUUCGUGGUGUAGCGGUGGAAUGCUU
rnacentral:rRNA from 1 species